rnacentral:rRNA from 1 species
ACUCCUACGGGAGGCAGCAGUGGGGAAUAUUGCACAAUGGGCGCAAGCCUGAUGCAGCCAUGCCGCGUGUGUGAAGAAGGCCUUCGGGUUGUAAAGCACUUUCAGUCGUGAGGAAGGCGGGUACGGUUAAUAGCGUAUUCGUUUGACGUUAGCGACAGAAGAAGCACCGGCUAACUCCGUGCCAGCAGCCGCGGUAAUACGGAGGGUGCGAGCGUUAAUCGGAAUUACUGGGCGUAAAGCGCAUGCAGGUGGUUUGUUAAGUUCAGAUGUGAAAGCCGGGGGCUCAACCUCGGAAUAGCAUUUGAAACUGGCAGACUAGAGUACUGUAGAGGGGGUAGAAUUUCAGGUGUAGCGGUGAAAUGCGUAGAGAUCUGAAGGAAUACCGGUGGCGAAGGCGGCCCCCUGGACAGAUACUGACACUCAGAUGCGAAAGCGUGGGGAGCAAACAGGAUUAGAUACCCUGGUAGGACAGUG